UACGUAGGGUGCAAGCGUUGUCCGGAAUUAUUGGGCGUAAAGAGCUCGUAGGCGGUCUGUCGCGUCUGCUGUGAAAACUCAGGGCUUAACCCUGAGCUUGCAGUGGGUACGGGCAGACUAGAGUGCGGUAGGGGAGACUGGAAUUCCUGGAGUAGCGGUGAAAUGCGCAGAUAUCAGGAGGAACACCGGUGGCGAAGGCGGGUCUCUGGGCCGAUAUCGACGCUGAGGAGCGAAAGCGUGGGGAGCGAACAGG
rnacentral:rRNA from 1 species